GAGAAAAGUCAAAUUUAUAUCUCCAUUCUAACUCUGUAUCUAUGUAUCUCUAGCUCCUCUUCUCCACAGGUUUUUGUUAAAAGCUGAGAAUCAGACUGUUCCGCUGUGCUUUGAUGUCAGUGGUGCUCUCAGCCUUAAACUUCUUCAUCAUCCCAGCAGGGAGCUGUUUGUGAAUGGUGAGCUUGAUUCAGUUGCAAAUGGGGGUUUCAAGAGAAUUUUCAUGCACUUCAAAACUAACCAGCAUUUCGAGAUUGACACCAAAGGGGUCACUGUACGAGAUAGACAGACAGAAACACAUCACACUGGACAGGAUCUGGUCACUGCUGGAAGUGUAACAAUGAUUAUGCGCAACAAUGAAAUAGACAUUGCAGCAGGAGACAUGCGCCUGGUUAUUUUAGUUCAUAAGAAGAGCAGCAUUAAAUUUCUUUGGCCAGUUUUAAGACAGCAUCCUUCAGCCAACAACACUGAUGGACUUUUAGCUCUAAAGUCAGCAGUUUAUGAGGAGGUACAACAAGUUGCGACUACAAAACUAAAGAUUAAAAACCAGGAAAUCAAUGUUACUAG